AGCUUUAGCCAGCAGACUGGUUUGGUUCUGGCAUCUGUGGGAAAUGGUUGUCACUUGUUCCUUAUUGUCUCUUUAUCUUUUACUGUUUCCAGCAUUUGAAGAGCAGGAGUACACCCCAGGUCACAAGAAUGCUUUCUGUUGCCAAGCUUUUCCCCUGCAGCACUUAUGUACAUGUGUGGAUCAGAGCAAAGUUAAGGCACACCAAGGAACAGAAGUCUGUCUGGUGGCUGUCUGGAUACAUGACUCAGAGGUUCAGAAAGGAUGGCCUUUGGGUUUGAAAGACGCUCUUGCGGUAAGAGAACAAUUGCAUGAACAGUGGGUAUGA
rnacentral:lncRNA from 14 species